AAGCAGUGCAGCUACCAUUCAUGUAAGUUAAAGCCUCUACCAUUUUACUUUGUAACAUUAAUGCCAUCUUUAUACCAAUACUCUAGCGAUGGGACUAUUAGGACUUUAGAAAAUCACAGCAAAGUAUUGUGGCCUUUACCUAAUCACUUUACAGGCUAGCGAGCAAGUGAACCACAUCAAUCCGUGUUAGAAGUUGGAUUCCAACGCACACGUCCAUUGGAGACUGCGACCUGAACGCAGCGCCUUAGACCGCUCGGCCAUCCUGACUUGAAAAUGCUGUAAGUAGUGAAAAUUACAAAAAGUAUCUGGAUUUCGUACACUGCAUAUGUCAUUGCUUUACCCUUUGUUAGUAUAUUCUUACAUAGAAUAUUGUGUCUAGACGCCGCAUUGCAGCAUCUUACCUUGAAGCAGUGCAGCUACCAUUCAUGCAAGUGCACGCCUCUAGCAUGUUACUUUGUAACAUUAAUGCCAUCUUUAUACCAAUACUCUAGCGAUGGGACUAUUAGGACUUUAGAAAAUCACAGCAAAGUAUUGUGGCCUUUACCUAAUCACUUUACAGGCUAGCGAGCAAGUGAACCACAUCAAUCCGUGUUAGAAGUUGGAUUCCAACGCACACGUCCAUUGGAGACUGCGACCUGAACGCAGCGCCUUAGACUGCUUGGCCUUCCUGACUGGAAACCUCUAAUAUUGUGUCUAGACGCCGCAUUGCAGCAUCUUACCUUGAAGCAGUGCAGCUAGCAUUCAUGCUAGCGAGCAAGUGAACCACAUCAAUCUGUGUUAGAAGUUGGAUUCCAACGCACACGUCCAUUGGAGACUGCGACCUGAACGCAGCGCCUUAGACUGCUUGGCCUUCCUGACUGGAAACCUCUAAUAUUGUGUCUAGACGCCGCAUUGCAGCAUCUUACCUUGAAGCAGUGCAGCUAGCAUUCAUGCUAGCGAGCAAGUGAACCACAUCAAUCCGUGUUAGAAGUUGGAUUCCAACGCACACGUCCAUUGGAGACUGCGACCUGAACGCAGCGCCUUAGACUGCUUGGCCUUCCUGACUGGAAACCUCUAAUAUUGUGUCUAGACGCCGCAUUGCAGCAUCUUACCUUGAAGCAGUGCAGCUAGCAUUCAUGCUAGCGAGCAAGUGAACCACAUCAAUCUGUGUUAGAAGUUGGAUUCCAACGCACACGUCCAUUGGAGACUGCGACCUGAACGCAGCGCCUUAGACUGCUUGGCCUUCCUGACUGGAAACCUCUGUAAGUAGUGAAAAUUACAAAAAGUAUCUGGAUUUCGUACACUGCAUAUGUCA